rnacentral:rRNA from 1 species
AUGGCUUGGAGUUCGAAGGCCCCGAAGCAAUGUCAUUUUUUCGCUUGGCUUGCAGGGAGAAACAGGUGUUGGACCUUGGAUUGGCUGGCACGUCGUGGUCUGCCACACCAAGCUACUUCCCCCUUUUGCAACCAAGACGCAGAGACACUGAACCAUGUGCUUCUUGGAUGUGUUCUGGCCCGGACUGUGUGGCAUCGAAUCCUUGAUACAUACGGAAAACCAGAGUGGGCUCCUACGGUGGAUCACAAGCUGGUAGACUGGUGCAACUCUUGCAGUGAGAGGGCGCGCUCGGCCCAGGAGGCAAAGGAUAUCAGGACUUUGACAUCCCUAGUCAUGUGGGAGCUCUGGAAGCAUCGGAAUGCGAUUGUUUUCGACAACGCAACACCCUCGGUUAGCGGUGUACUUGCGAGAGUAGAAAGUGAGGCUCGAUCGUGGACGGCAGAAGGGCUAUUUAAGGGAGACAUCGGGCCUUUCCUCGGUUCUCUAGCUAGGUGGCUAGCCGUAGGGUAG